AGAACAGGAUGAAGAGCCUGCCGACUGUAGCACUCCUGCUUCUCUCCCUGGCACUGACUGCCCAAGGAGGAAGUAAACCUUCAAAACCGACAGAAGCCGAUGUGACCAAAGGUUUUCAAUUUGGAGACAUCAUUGAAUUUCCUCACACUUUCUACAAGCACUACGGUAUAUUUGUGGGAGAUGAGGAAUUUAAAGACAAAUCACACGAACAAACUAUUUUCCAUUUCUCCGGAAAUGACUCAGCGAUAGUUGCAUCCUCUGGAACACCCACGGCGAAAUGUGAAUUCGGUACAGUACUGGGUACAGCUGGAAAAAAAGGCUUUAGAAAGAACAACCUUCAUGAUGGACUAGAGGGUUACACUAAACAAGGAAAUGCCUGCAUGAAAGAAACAAUAAAUUAUAUGGUAAAGGAGGGGUGUGGACAAUACGAUUUGUGGAAAAAUAACUGUGAACAUGUGGCCACAUACAUCCGAUAUGGUAAAGAUGAGUCAAAGCAGGUUGACAAAUUGUUUUCAAAACUUUCUGAAAACCUUCCCUGUUUAAAAAUUAAACCCAAGUUAAAUAAACUCAAAGAUUUGGCAGAACGGAUAAAACGCUUCCUUCGUCUGGGAUGAGGACCCUGUUCAAGCAAAGAGUCACAGUCACAGAC